UACAGAGGUCUCAAGCGUUGUUCGGAUUCAUUGGGCGUAAAGGGUGCGUAGGCGGCGCGGUAAGUCGGGUGUGAAAUCUCGGAGCUUAACUCCGAAACUGCAUUCGAUACUGCCGUGCUUGAGGACUGGAGAGGAGACUGGAAUUUACGGUGUAGCGGUGAAAUGCGUAGAUAUCGUAAGGAAGACCAGUGGCGAAGGCGGGUCUCUGGACAGUUCCUGACGCUGAGGCACGAAGGUCAGGGGGAGCAAACAGG
rnacentral:rRNA from 1 species